CACCCCUGGCAGUGGGCAAAGAGGCACCUUGUUUGUGCCAUUGUUCUUAUGUCAGUCAGGGGCAGAGCAGAGGGCAGCCCUUUGUUCAUCCCAGCUUGAUGCCUGGCUUGAUGACCAAAGCUGUUUCAUGCCUAGGGCACAUAA